GUCUAUGUAACGCAAUGGAUAGCGCGUUGGACUUCUAUUCCAAAGGCUGUAGGUUUGAAUCCUACCUGGGAUU